rnacentral:lncRNA from 1 species
UAUUUCUCGGGCCAUGAUAGAUGCACCCCCAUGUGUACAUUGACAUAGCACUUGGACGUGUGAUGUUGAAAAACUCAAUGCUUAUUUAGUCAACUAGAUGCUGAGGCAAUUCAGAAUAUCUCGAUAUGCACUAUAUGGCAAGAACAUUUCUAGGCUUGACAAAUGGCAUGCCAGGUCUGCGUGUGUCGGAGUAUGGUUAGGAUGCCUUGCGAUAUACACCCAAUCAUUUUCUUCCAUAUCCGAUAUGCAUCCAACAAAAAGAAGAUGGAAAAGAGCAUAAUGAUCUAGAUCAGCCCACAAAAGACCACGUCUCGGUAACACACUCUAUCACACCCAUGUUUCAGAUCACCAACACCCUCAUGGGUUUCAACAUCACAAUACACAUCUCAUGGCUACAAUUUAGAUAAGGUUUCCCACACUCCAGCUUAACUUGAGACGACUUCAACAGUUGCAACAGUGGUAAGUGAUAAAGAAUUCAACAACCAUGAUGCCAUUGACGAGUUAGCAGUACUCUGUCCCUUGACCCGCACUUGUCUUAUCCAAUGGCUCUAUUGGUUACCGCUCGACAAAGUUCUCAUGUUUUUUUUCUUCAACAUCAACAAUGCUCUCCUUCACCAACUUAAGUAAUUAUUGGCACCCUCCAACUUGAUAUCAAUGGGCAUCAACUAUAAUAUCUAUACGGGCUUGAUACAAAGGGAUGGCUUCAUUGCUUGAAGAUGGUGCAUCACCUGAAUUUGUAGCAGAGAAGUUAAACCAUGUCCAGAGCUUGUUGAGUCAUCAACCCUCCCCCAUGGUUUAGUAUACCAGUAAUGCACUUCUCAAGCAAGAGACGAAGCAAAACUGCUCCCUACUACGCUCAACAACAUUUGUUUUCUUCAAAUGGAAACAAUGAAUCCGGGUUGGAAUACCUUUGCCUAUGCAUAUUCUCGAGUAGCAACACCCACGAACGAACUCUGCGUGUUGUUGGAACAAUGCGUUGCCUUCCUCUUCACCGACUGACAAG